rnacentral:piRNA from 1 species
UCAAACACUGAUGCCUUUGAGUCGGGUCC